AGAACAAGACAUCAUCGUCGUCAUCAUCAGCCGAGAAAGCAGACGACAAGAACCAGAACAAGACAUCGUCAGCCGAGAAGACAGACGACGAGAGACAGAACAAGACAUCGUCAGCCGGGAAGACAGGCGACGAGAGACAGGACAAGACAUCAACGUCAGCCGACGACACGGACGAAAAGAGCCGUGAGUGUCUCAGCCGCUCUACAUUACAACAACAGCAACAACAAGUGGUGACCCAUCCUCCUGUGUCACUGGAACUGUUGGGGGAUGACCAUGGACCCGAUGUGUGGUUUGAUGUCCUUCCCCCACACACACCUGCGAUCAGCGUGACUUGGCUACAUGCGGUGGUGGUUCUGAAGAAGUUCCACAUAC